rnacentral:rRNA from 1 species
GCGAGUGAAGCGGCAACAGCUCAAAUUUGAAAUCUGGCCCUCGGGUCCGAGUUGUAAUUUGAAGAGGAUGCUUUUGGCGCGGUGCCUUCCGAGUUCCCUGGAACGGGACGCCAUAGAGGGUGAGAGCCCCGUCUGGUCGGACACCAAGCCUCUGUAAAGCUCCUUCGACGAGUCGAGUAGUUUGGGAAUGCUGCUCAAAAUGGGAGGUAUAUGUCUUCUAAAGCUAAAUAUUGGCCAGAGACCGAUAGCGCACAAGUAGAGUGAUCGAAAGAUGAAAAGCACUUUGAAAAGAGGGUUAAAUAGUACGUGAAAUUGUUGAAAGGGAAGCACUUAUGACCAGACUUGGGCCCGGUGAAUCAUCCAGCGUUCUCGCUGGUGCACUUCGCCGGCCCAGGCCAGCAUCAGUUCGCCGUGGGGGAUAAAGGCUUCGGGAACGUGGCUCCCUCGGGAGUGUUAUAGACCGUUGCACAAUACCCUGUGGUGGACUGAGGUACGC